UAGGGAAUUUUUCACAAUGAGCGAAAGCUUGAUGGAGCAAUGCCGCGUGAACGAUGAAGGUCUUUAAGAUUGUAAGGUUCUUUUAUUUGGGAAGAAUGACUUUAGCAGGUAAUGGCUAGAGUUUGACUGUACCAUUUUGAAUAAGUGACGACUAACUAUGUGCCAGCAGUCGCGGUAAUACAUAGGUCGCAAGCGUUAUCCGGAUUUAUUGGGCGUAAAGCAAGCGCAGGCGGAUUGAAAAGUCUGGUGUUAAAGGCAGCUGCUUAACAGUUGUAUGCAUUGGAAACUAUUAAUCUAGAGUGUGGUAGGGAGUUUUGGAAUUUCAUGUGGAGCGGUGACAUGCGUAGAUAUAUGAAGGAACACCAGUGGCGAAGGCGAAAACUUAGGCCAUUACUGACGCUUAGGCUUGAAAGUGUGGGGAGCAAAUAGGAUUAGAUACCCUAGUAGUCCACACCGUAAACGAUAGAUACUAGCUGUCGGGGCGAUCCCCUCGGUAGUGAAGUUAACACAUUAAGUAUCUCGCCUGGGUAGUACAUUCGCAAGAAUG
rnacentral:rRNA from 1 species